UACGGAGGGUGCAAGCGUUAUCCGGAUUCACUGGGUUUAAAGGGUGCGUAGGUGGGCAGGUAAGUCAGUGGUGAAAUCUCCGGGCUUAACCCGGAACUGCCGUUGAUACUAUCUGUCUUGAAUGUAGUGGAGGUGAGCGGAAUAUGUCAUGUAGCGGUGAAAUGCUUAGAUAUGACAUAGAACACCAAUUGCGAAGGCAGCUUACUACAAGGGAUAUUGACACUGAGGCACGAAAGCGUGGGGAUCAAA
rnacentral:rRNA from 1 species